GUACCCAACAAGAAGUUAUAAUUUAUUCAUAUAACAAACUAAAUCAGUAUGUUAUACUUGGGAAAUGUGGAUAACACAUUAAUUUGAUGAAAUUUAUGUUUUAGUACAACGUUUUGGUUGGGGACUGAGUUAAAAAUUCCUCCUCCUAGAUGGAUGUAUAUUCAUGGUUCCGACGAAGCCUCUCUAGAGCUACAAGGACCACCACCACAACUGUUACUGCUCAACCGGACGACGAACUACUCUACGGCGUCACUGACCAAUUACUCGAUUUUGUCAAAAACUUCUCCAUUGACACCUUUCGAAACUUCUCUCUCCCAGAGGAGGAGGAGGAGGAUGGAGAUACACCCGGGAAAGAUCUAUCUGAUUGGCAACAGCGUCAUGCUUUGCUUGUUCUUUCCAAACUCAAGGAACUCUCACAAUUGAGGUUCAAAUUAUGUCCACGCUUUUUAAAGGAUCACCAGUUUUGGACGAUAUAUUUUGCUCUCGUUAAGGGUUUUGUUGCCAAAUAUGAGCUACAUGCUAUACAAUUAGAUAAGCUCAAACAGAUGAGAUUGGAAAACGAAAAUACUCCAGAUGUUGCUGCAUGCGAAGUUGAGAUGUCUGAAGCGAAGCAAACAACAAAUGUAUUGCCUACAAUUUCGGAGGAGCACAAUUAGUAUCUCCCUUGGAUAUGUCACUAAUUAUCAGUGCCAGAAAAGUUCCCCAUCUAUGAGCAGCGUUCAAGUGUGCCUUCCUGUUUCUGCCAUGCAUAUUUUAAGGCAGUGUAAACAAAGUAAAACAGAAUAUCUGAAUUUUCUGAUUUAUGAUCAUAGAAAAAGAAAACUGAAAGUCAAGCAAAAUGUUAGAUGAAAAUGGAAAUUGAAAUGAUUGUUGAAAUUGGAAAAUGCCUGUUCAUCAAGAAAAGGGGAACAUAUUUGCAAAAUUUGGCGCGUCACUGACAGCUUCUACUAUACCUGCGUUACUGGAAUUGAUUAUCUGAUGCUGCUGACUUCUCUGCCGAUUGCUGACAAUCAGUGCAAGUUACAAGGUGUUUUAUAGUUCUGUAAAUGCAUAGAAGAUCAGAUCUUAGGAUUAAUCUAGGUUUGGUUAAAUACAUUUUCAUGUUGGUUAAGUAUAAGUUUAUCUUAAUGUUACUACUUGGAGCACUUUUGUACCUGGCUGACCAUUAAUUUAUUAAUGGUAGUAGUCGCUUGAUGAUCUCAGAACAGAUAAAUAUUAGGAGAUUGCAUGUCAAAUGAAUCUCUCUGAUCUUGCUGUGUUGAAUUUUGGUCUUUUAUGUUUGGGUUUCUUCUAGAGUUAGUUGGGUUAAUCCACUGGAGAAAUGAUUUUUCUUUUGUGUGGCUGCCAGAAGAGUGCCAAUUGAUUUGUCUAAAAAAAGUAGUACUACAAAUUAUGCAUGACAA